UGUGUGUGUGUGUGUGUGUGUGUGUGUGUGUGUGUGUGUGUGUGUGUGUGUGUGUGUGUGCUAUAAGAGGUGAGCCAUUAGGCAGGAGUCAGGUCGUCUGGUUGCUUCUAUUGUUCUCUACUUCCUGAUGACCCUAAAGGAGGUGUGUAGGGAUGAGGUGGCAGCGGAGACAGAGGAGGGACCCCAAACCCCCAAAUCCACCUGGCAGUUUUCUGAACUAGGCCAAUUUAAACAACAAAACAUGAUGUAGUGCAUGUAUCAGGGUUACAUCCAAACUCUUGGUCCUGACUCAUUUCCUGUCCUCUUCUGCUACUCAGUAUUUAAAGGGUUAUUCCGUAAAAUUAAUUUAGGGUCAAACACACUGUAGCACCGAGUUAGACACCCCCUGGAGAGAUGAAUGUUGCUGACUGCUUGCUUCUCUUGUUAAACCAACUUUAGUAACGACCGCACCACUCUAUAGCCACAAAUAAUGCUCAGAACAGCACCUAACUUCAUCAACAGUACAUUAUAGGGUCCCAGCCACGUCACUAGCUUCCAAACAUCUUUUUAAGUUUGUCUAAUUUUUUUAGCAAAGAGACUAAACACAACUCACCUACUCUCUUCCAGCAGCUGCUUGUUUGUAGCAAGACCUCAGGCCAAUCCAUUACAGACAACAGCGGGGUGAUGCAGCUCAAGGAAUAACAUUUAUGAUCAUUUCUUUAUCAUUUCCUUGAAGUAAUAAUCAUCAUAUUAAUCAUUUUGCACUGCAGACAUGGUAGGUCUUCUGCCUCAGCAUUCUAAUUGCAUUCCUAUGAAGAAAUGAUCAUAAAUGUUCUUCCUUGAGCUGUGACACCCCACAGUUGUCCGUAAUGGACUGGCCUGAGGUCUCGCUACAAACAAGCGGCUGCUGGAAGAGAGUAGGUGAGUUGUGUUUAGUCGCUUUGCUAAAGAAAUCAGGCAAAGUUAAAAAGAUGUUUGGUGGCUUGUUCUAUGGCUAGGACCCUAUAUGUACUGUUGAUGAAGUUAGGUGCUGUUCUGAGCAUUAUUUGUGGCUAUAGAGUGGCUUUUUGGUUGAGGUUUGCACAUGGAGAGGUAGACCGCUGUGUGUAACUAUCGUGUGGUUGUAACUAAAGUUGGUAUAACUAGAGAAGCAAGCGGUCGGUAACAUUCAUCUCUCGAGUCGGUGUCUAACUUGGUGUUACGGUGUGUUUGACCCUUAAUUAAUUUUAUGCCGGAAUAUCCCUUUAAAGAUCUUUUCCCUCUCUCCUUCAUGUAGAUUGUAUAUCUGAACUUCUACAGAGUAUCAUCAGUUUGUACCUGAUAGAAACAGAGAAACACACAGAGAGCCAGGCGUGCUGCUACUUUGGGGUGAGGAGGUGAGUGAGGUUCAUGUGCAGGCCAGAUGACAGUAUGAGGUUUUAGGGGGAGGGGGCUGUCAUAGCGUCUGCCUUUUAGUUGUGUCAGCAAAAGCCUCUCUGCACAAAUGCUGAUUUCAGUUAAAGAGCUCGUGUGGGCUAUAAAGUUUAUUCCUCUUGUCUCAACUGAACUAUUACUCCUGCUAACAUGCUUCCCCAUUGUGUUGUCGACUCUUUUAGCUCCUCCCAGGAGGUAACAUUAGUCUCUGGUAUUAAGUCUUUUACAAAUACUUUUCAAACACUGCAUCAUUUUAAGUUUCUGAAAAUAGAGCGAGUUAUGUCUGUCUGUUGACAUUUCCAAUCCUGCAAACACGCUGCCACUGCUGUCUCUCACAGACAGAGAAGACUUUCAGGUAACAACAAUGCAAACACAUUUUCAGUAUCAACAGACGGGAAAACAAGACGUAGAAUAACUCUCAGGGAUGACGGACACAUCGAAACUUGAAAAUGCCACUCAGAAUAGAGAGAUUUGGGAUUUUUGCUGCUAGGUACAAAAGUCAUAGGACUGGGUUUGGACCCCUGGUAGUUUGUGAAUUACCAAAAGUCAGUGUUUGCACAUUCAUACUUGUGGUCCACAUCCUGUAACUUUUCCCAGAGAAGAUGAAAUAAUAAUA
rnacentral:lncRNA from 1 species